AGAGUUUGAUCAUGGCUCAGAAUCAACGCUGGCGGCGUGCCUAACACAUGCAAGUCGCACGAGAAAGUGGAGCAAUCCAUGAGUAAAGUGGCGCACGGGUGAGUAACACGUGACUAACCUACCCUCGAGUGGGGAAUAACCUAGAGAAAUCUGGGCUAAUACCGCAUAACACUUACGAGUCAAAGCAGCAAUGCGCUUGAGGAGGGGGUCGCGGCCGAUUAGCUAGUUGGCGGGGUAAUGGCCCACCAAGGCGAUGAUCGGUAUCCGGCCUGAGAGGGCGCACGGACACACUGGAACUGAAACACGGUCCAGACUCCUACGGGAGGCAGCAGUGGGGAAUUUUGCGCAAUGGGGGAAACCCUGACGCAGCAACGCCGCGUGGAGGAUGAAAUCCCUUGGGAUGUAAACUCCUUUCGAUCGGGACGAUUAUGACGGUACCGGAAGAAGAAGCCCCGGCUAACUUCGUGCCAGCAGCCGCGGUAAUACGAGGGGGGCAAGCGUUGUUCGGAAUUAUUGGGCGUAAAGGGCGCGUAGGCGGUCUGACAAGUCUGAUGUGAAAUCUCUGGGCUCAACCCAGAGUCUGCAUUAGAGACUGUCGGGCUUGAGUAUGGGAGAGGUGAGUGGAAUUUCCGGUGUAGCGGUGAAAUGCGUAGAUAUCGGAAGGAACACCUGUGGCGAAAGCGGCUCACUGGACCAUAACUGACGCUGAGGCGCGAAAGCUAGGGGAGCAAACAGGAUUAGAUACCCUAGUAGUCC
rnacentral:rRNA from 1 species